UGAGUAAUGCCUAGGAAUCUGCCUGGUAGUGGGGGACAACGUCUCGAAAGGGACGCUAAUACCGCAUACCUCCUACGGGAGAAAGCAGGGGACCUUCGGGCCUUGCGCUAUCAGAUGAGCCUAGGUCGGAUUAGCUAGUUGGUGAGGUAAUGGCUCACCAAGGCGACGAUCCGUAACUGGUCUGAGAGGAUGAUCAGUCACACUGCAACUGAGACACGGUCCAGACUCCUACAGGAGGCAGCAGUGGGGAAUAUUGGACAAUGGGCGAAAGCCUGAUCCAGCCAUGCCGCGUGUGUGAAGAAGGUCUUCGGAUUGUAAAGCACUUUAAGUUGGGAGGAAGGGUUGUAGAUUAAUACUCUGCAAUUUUGACGUUACCGACAGAAUAAGCACCGGCUAACUCUGUGCCAGCAGCCGC
rnacentral:rRNA from 1 species